rnacentral:lncRNA from 1 species
GCCCGCGGGUCCCACCUACGUGGUUUCCUGUGCCGAGCCAGAGAACGCAAGCGCGAGCUAAGCGGAGCUCGCCACGGAUCGACGGGUGCCAUGGCCAGUGCCGCGACCAAGCUCCUGCGAGAUGCGCUCCACGGCGGCGCGAGCGGAGCUCGGCCUCCGCGCAGCCGGCACAGGGCAAGGCGGCAUAGGACACGGGCGCCGGUGCCCGCUGCGAGGCGAGGUGGGGAGACGGCGACCAGCACAGACGCAGUUGGAGGUGGGGCCGCCGGGUCGCCGGCGCGGGUCAAGGUGGGGGCUUGGCCGCUGGGCCACCUGCGUGAUCGAGACGGGGGCCGCGCAAGCCCUGUGCUCCACCAUGGUCUGCACCACAGCUGCACAUUCGUGGGGAUCAAGGAGAGGAGGCCAUGAUGCUGCCACCGGUGCGCGGAGAAGCUCACGAAUGCCGGUGCGUGGAGGAGUUGUGACGCUGGCGUAGAGAGGUCGUAGAGAGGGGAGUAGGGGCGAGGCUGUCGGAGCUUGCGAACGCCGGAGCGUGGCGUCGAUUGGACGGCGGCAGGCUCGAUUUGGCUUUCAAGAACUUCUUCCGAUUCGGUUGAGGUGCGGCACAAGCAAGGCAGGCUCUGGUGGAGAGAAAGGGGAGCGAUGGGGUGCGAUGGUGCAAGCCAGAAUCUAGUGGACAGAAAGGUGUGUUCGCUGCUCGUACUCUCCAGGAGGUUCAACUGUUCAAGAAUCCAGCGACGAGAGCUUGAAGAAAGAGAAAUUAGAUUAGAAUGAAGUAAUUAAUCUAGUUAUGUAUUUUCUUAUUUCGUUGGAGAUUGUGCUUAAAGCUGGUCUGUUGGGC